UACGUAGGGGGCAAGCGUUGUCCGGAUUUAUUGGGCGUAAAGAGCGUGUAGACGGUCAGGUAGGUCCGUUGUGAAAACUCGAGGCUCAACCUCGAGACGCCGAUGGAAACCAUCUGACUAGAGUCCGGAAGAGGAGAGUGGAAUUCCUGGUGUAGCGGUGAAAUGCGCAGAUAUCAGGAAGAACACCCGUGGCUAAGGCGGCUCUCUAGUACGGUACUGACGCUGAGACGCGAAAGCGUGGGGAGCGAACAGG
rnacentral:rRNA from 1 species